rnacentral:rRNA from 1 species
AUUGAACGCUGGCGGCAGGCCUAACACAUGCAAGUCGAGCGGGGGUAGCAAUACCCUAGCGGCGAACGGGUGAGGAAUGCUUGGGAAUCUGCCUGGUAGUGGGGGGAUAACGUUCCGAAAGGAACGCUAAUACCGCAUACGUCCUACGGGAGAAAGGGGGGGAUCUUCGGACCUCUCGCUAUCAGAUGAGCCCAAGCGGGAUUAGCUAGUUGGUGAGGUAAAGGCUCACCAAGGCGACGAUCCCUAGCUGGUCUGAGAGGAUGAUCAGCCACACUGGAACUGAGACACGGUCCAGACUCCUACGGGAGGCAGCAGUGGGGAAUAUUGGACAAUGGCGAAAGCCUGAUCCAGCCAUGCCGCGUGUGUGAAGAAGGCCUUC